UCAGGUUUUUAGCCAACAAAGCUUUAUUUUCAAUGACAAAAAUAACAGGUCUUAAAUGACACUAUAGUAACCUGACCCACUACAGCUUAAUGUAGUUGCUUCUAUAGUCAGUCCCUGUAAGCUUUUCGAUGUAAAUACUGUCUUUUCAAAGAAAAAGCAGUGUUUUUAUAUUGCUGCCUAGUAUCACCUCUAGUGGCAGUCACUCAGAUGGCUAAUAGAGGUGCUUCCUAGUCCAGUACAGCAUAGUGUGCAACAUCUACUUCAGUGUCUCCACGUUCUGCAUGGACGUGCUGAAUGUUCCUCAUUGAAUCGGUGCAUCUCUGAGGAGAUGCUGAUUGGUGUGACGUUUUGCCGCGCCUGUGCAAUAGCUUCCCAAUGCUUUCCUAUGGAAAAGCAUUGGAUUGGCUGAGAUCAUUAAGAUAGAUUAGCUCAGUCAUGUAGAGGUAGCCAGCCUGAGUGAGCCCGUUGCGGCAUAGGAAAAAAAGGGAGUAAAAUAAUACCUUUACCAUUUGAUUGGAAAAGGGGCCAAUCACCUAAAUAGUUAAACACGAUUGCAUCAGGAAUACAUUCAAUUUACAAAUAAAGAAGACUAGAACCAAAUGUCAUGGGUAUUUAACUUAUGCAGAACACCCAUUGUACAACGCUACGGAAUUUUGCUGGUGCUAUAUAAAUAAUAAUGAAUAUAUUAUGAUGUGACACACUAGAUGUUUCAUGCAAUGUAUCAGUUUUUUCACUUAGCUUUUUGUGGCCAUGCACAUCCCUUGUAUGUUUAGAAUUAAGUACCAAUACUCACAGACAGAUCUAAACACACACAC